CGGAGGGCGUAGCGUUGUUCGGAAUUACUGGGCGUAAAGACGCACGUAGGCGGACCGGAAAGUACAGAGGUGAAAUCCCCAGGGCUCAACCUUGGAACUGCCUUUGAAACUAUCGGUCUGGAGUUCGAGAGAGGUGAGUGGAAUUCCGAGUGUAGAGGUGAAAUUCGUAGAUAUUCGGAGGAACACCAGUGGCGAAGGCGGCUCACUGGCUCGAUACUGACGCUGAGGUGCGAAAGCGUGGGGAGCAAACAGGAUU
rnacentral:rRNA from 1 species